rnacentral:rRNA from 1 species
UACGGAGGGUGCAAGCGUUAUCAGGAUUUACUGGGUUUAAAGGGUGCGCAGGCGGAUAUGUAAGUCAGUGGUGAAAUCUCCGGGCUUAACCCGGAAACUGCCGUUGAUACUAUAUAUCUUGAAUGCUGUGGAGGUAAGCAGAAUAUGUCAUGUAGCGGUGAAAUGCUUAGAGAUGACAUAGAAUACCUAUUGCGAAGGCAGCUAGCUAAAGUAUGAUUGACGCUGAGGCACGAAAGCGUGGGGAGCAAACAGG